rnacentral:tRNA from 1 species
GCUGUGGCUCAGGGGCAAAGCAUCUGCUUUGCAUGCAGAAGGCCCCAGGUUCAAACCCCGGCAUCUCCA